AACGAACGCUGGCGGCAGGCCUAACACAUGCAAGUCGAACGCUCCAGCAAUGGAGAGUGGCAGACGGGUGAGUAACGCGUGGGAACCUUCCCUAUGGUUCGGAAUAGCUCAGGGAAACUUGGGGUAAUACCGGAUAAGCCCUUCGGGGGAAAGAUUUAUCGCCAUUGGAUGGGCCCGCGUCGGAUUAGCUAGUUGGUGGGGUAACGGCCCACCAAGGCAACGAUCCGUAGCUGGUCUGAGAGGAUGAUCAGCCACACUGGGACUGAGACACGGCCCAGACUCCUACGGGAGGCAGCAGUGGGGAAUAUUGGACAAUGGGCGCAAGCCUGAUCCAGCCAUGCCGCGUGAGUGACGAAGGUCUUCGGAUUGUAAAACUCUUUUGGAGGGGACGAUAAUGACGGUACCCGCAGAAUAAGCCCCGGCUAACUUCGUGC
rnacentral:rRNA from 1 species